rnacentral:rRNA from 1 species
GACGAACGCUGGCGGCGUGCUUAACACAUGCAAGUCGAACGGAAAGGCCCUGCUUUUGUGGGGUGCUCGAGUGGCGAACGGGUGAGUAACACGUGAGUAACCUGCCCUUGACUUUGGGAUAACUUCAGGAAACUGGGGCUAAUACCGGAUAGGAGCUCCUGCUGCAUGGUGGGGGUUGGAACGUUUCGGCGGUUGGGGAUGGACUGGCGGCUUAUCAGCUUGUUGGUGGGGUAGUGGCUUACCAAGGCUUUGACGGGUAGCCGGCCUGAGAGGGUGACCGGCCACCUUGGGACUGAGAUACGGCCCAGACUCCUACGGGAGGCAGCAGUGGGGAAUAUUGCACAAUGGGCGGAAGCCUGAUGCAGCAACGCCGCGUGCGGGAUGACGGCCUUCGGGUUGUAAACCGCUUUCGCCUGUGACGAAGCGUGAGUGACGGUAAUGGGUAAAGAAGCACCGGCUAACUACGUG